AUCCGGGUUGCGGACAGUGUCUGGUGGGUAGUUUGACUGGGGCGGUCUCCUCCUAAAGAGUAACGGAGGAGCACGAAGGUUGGCUAAUCCUGGUCGGACAUCAGGAGGUUAGUGCAAUGGCAUAAGCCAGCUUGACUGCGAGCGUGACGGCGCGAGCAGGUGCGAAAGCAGGUCAUAGUGAUCCGGUGGUUCUGAAUGGAAGGGCCAUCGCUCAACGGAUAAAAGGUACUCCGGGGAUAACAGGCUGAUACCGCCCAAGAGUUCAUAUCGACGGCGGUGUUUGGCACCUCGAUGUCGGCUCAUCACAUCCUGGGGCUGAAGUAGGUCCCAAGGGUAUGGCUGUUCGCCAUUUAAAGUGGUACGCGAGCUGGGUUUAGAACGUCGUGAGACAGUUCGGUCCCUAUCUGCCGUGGGCGCUGGAGAACUGAGGGGGGCUGCUCCUAGUACGAGAGGACCGGAGUGGACGCAUCACUGGUGUUCGGGUUGUCAUGCCAAUGGCACUGCCCGGUAGCUAAAUGCGGAAGAGAUAAGUGCUGAAAGCAUCUAAGCACGAAACUUGCCCCGAGAUGAGUUCUCCCUGAGACUUUAGGUCUC
rnacentral:rRNA from 1 species